rnacentral:rRNA from 1 species
CCUACGGGCGGCAGUAGUGGGGAAUAUUGCACAAUGGGCGCAAGCCUGAUGCAGCCAUGCCGCGUGUGUGAAGAAGGCCUUCGGGUUGUAAAGCACUUUCAGCGGGGAGGAAGGCGUUAAGGUUAAUAACCUUGUCGAUUGACGUUACCCGCAGAAGAAGCACCGGCUAACUCCGUGCCAGCGGCCGCGGUAAUACGGAGGGUGCAAGCGUUAAUCGGAAUUACUGGGCGUAAAGCGCACGCAGGCGGCCUGUCAAGUCGGAUGUGAAAUCCCCGGGCUCAACCUGGGAACUGCAUUCGAAACUGGCAGGCUAGAGUCUUGUAGAGGGGGGUAGAAUUCCAGGUGUAGCGGUGAAAUGCGUAGAGAUCUGGAGGAAUACCGGUGGCGAAGGCGGCCCCCUGGACAAAGACUGACGCUCAGGUGCGAAAGCGUGGGGAGCAAACAGGAUUAGAUACCCGGGUAGUC